rnacentral:rRNA from 1 species
CAGAGGUCCCGAGCGUUGUUCGGAUUCACUGGGCGUAAAGCGCGUGCAGGUGGCUCGGUAAGUUGGGCGUGAAAUCUCCCGGCUCAACUGGGAGAGGUCGUUCAAUACUACCGAGCUAGAGAGCAGAAGAGGAAGAUGGAAUUCCCGGUGUAGUGGUGAAAUGCGUAGAUAUCGGGAGGAACACCAGUGGCGAAGGCGAUCUUCUGGUCUGUUUCUGACACUCAGACGCGACAGCUAGGGUAGUAAACGGGAUUAGAGACCCCGGUAAUCCUAGCCGUAAACGAUGUGAACUUGGCGUUGGUGGGUUAAACUCCAUCAGUGCCGAAGCAAACGCGAUAAGUUCACCGCCUGGGGACUACGGCCGCAAGGUUA